UUGAAUUUCCAUAGAGAGUUGCCGCAGAAAGAUGCAAUAUUCCGACCAAAUAUUCUUAGCAACAUUACAGGCACACAUGAAGGUUAUAAUGUAAAUAAGUACAUCUAAUACUAAUACUUUAAUAAAAACUUUGACGCCUCAAAGAAAAGGCAGUAGUUUUAGUAAAGACGACCCAAAUAAGUAACAUCACUUUCUUAUCAAAGUUAUAUAACUCUCAGCUCAACAGCUUCAAAAAUGAAGGAAGAGGAAAGUUGAAGAAUAUAAAAACAUUACAAAAGAAUAAGGUAUAUUUAAAUAGUGGGUUAAAACAAAAACACUAAAUGACAAUUUGUGGCGAAACUUUUGACGAAGACUGGAUGUAAUGCUAAAAAGUUCAACAUUGAGUUCAUGAGGCAUUUAAUUUGAUUGAUUGAUUAAUUGGUUAUAUGGCUUUCAGUAGUGUCAGGGGAAAAAUUUAAAUGCCGAUUAUUUGUAUCAGAUACCUGCAUAUGUGACAUUUUUGUUACGAAAUAUCGAUCCGACAGCUAAAUAUUGUGGUGGCCGAAGCUACCCGCCACGAUUUUAGAGAAGCCGAAAAUAAGCUAAUAUUUAAAAAAAAAUAUUUGUAUAUUAGAUUAAAAUAUAUGUCAGAGAUAAGUUUGGGUAGUUUAGAUUUUUACAAAUUUAUUUGGGACAUAAUUAUACUAAAAAAAGGCCGGGCUACCCCCCUUUCUCCGAAGUUCUUGGCAUUGGCAACUAUUUUAAGAUUUACAUACUUAAUUUUCCGCUGUUUAAGAGUUUUUUCUAUUUUUAUGUAAAUUUAUAUUUAUUAUUGUAUAUUAAAUUUUUUAAUUCCUGUAUUUCUAUUGAAAUGUACUUUAGUUUUGAUAACGUAAAUUUAAAACAAAACGAAUGAAAGUAGUUUUUGGGAUGAUCUUUCUAAAACGUAUUCUUUCAAAAUGUAAAUAUGCUAUAAUAAAUAUGAUUUGUUGCCGAAUAAAGGGCGUUAUAA
rnacentral:misc_RNA from 1 species